UUGCAUAUCUGGAAAUAAAUACUCUUUGUUAAUAAGCAAUCAAACUCCAAAUGGUGCUGCAAACAGAACCACACAUGGACACACCAUUCUUCCAAAGACCCUUAUAUCAACUCCAGGAGGAACGCUAGCUGUCCUUCACUCAAUACCCCCUUUCAGCAGGAAGUAUCCAGAAGGAGUCAUCGUCCAAGACCCCCUAACAGGAGUUAGAGUUACAGCUCCUGAGGGGGGAAUAAUAUAGGAGUAAAAAAGUAAUUAUUUAGGCAGAUAGUGAGGGUACAGGAGUCCUUGGUAAGGCUUUUCAUUUAAUAAAAAGCAGCCCCCAAACCAUUUCUUUUCUAGCAGAAAACAGCCUGAAAAGUCAGGCUGCAAGCAUAGACAAGCAAGCUGGAAGCUUGCAUUAAUGCUGGCAGCUGUACCUAAAAGCCAGGUACAUCCAACAUGGCAAUUCCUCUCUCCCUUCUCUUUGGCACCACAUGUGCAGAUGUCAUGGUGCAAGCCAGGAAAAAAACCCCAUCUGCAUAAUAAAAGAUUAAGGUGGCAUGGCCAGUUUCUUUGUGGGCUAUGUAAGUGGCACACUUGGUCAAACCAAUCCUGUGGGCCCUUUGUAAAUCAGACACUGCCUUACACUGUCUUCUGAAACACCUUUAUAUAACCAACUAUUUCCUGCCACGCACAGGGAAAUCCAUUCGGAGCCUUCCUCCCUCUGCAUGGGGGAGCUGCUCUCUUCUUUUCUACCUAUUAAACUUUCCUCUCCUUAACCCACCCACGUGUAUCCGUGUCCUUAAUCUUCUUGGUGUGAGAUAAUGAACUUCGGGUAUUUUCCCAGACAACAAAGCCACUUCAAUAGGUAGAAGGAACUCAUUUGCAGGUAAGAAUUUGGAUGUGGGACUUAGGACUUCUGAGUUAAUGCUGGAAUGACUUAAGACUUUGUGGGGACGAUUAAGAAGCGAUGAUUGUAUUUUACAAUAUGAGA
rnacentral:lncRNA from 10 species